rnacentral:rRNA from 1 species
UUCCGGUUGAUCCUGCCGGAGGUCACUGCUAUUGGGGUUCGACUAAGCCAUGCAAGUCGAAUUCUUGCGAAUGGCGGACGGCUCAGUAACACGUGGGUAAUCUACCCUCAGGACAGGGAUAACCCCGGGAAACUGGGGAUAAUACCUGAUAGGUGGAGAGGUCUGGGAUGAUCCUCCGCCCAAAGCUCCGGCGCCUGAGGAUGAGCCUGCGGCCGAUUAGGUUGUUGGCGGUGUAACGGACCACCAAGCCUGAGAUCGGUACGGGCACUGAGAGGUGGAGCCCGGAGAUGGGGGCUGAGAAACGGCCCCAGGCCCUACGGGGCGCAGCAGGCGCGAAAACUCCGCAAUACGCGAAAGCGUGACGGGGGGACCCCAAGUGUCAUGCCUUCGGGUAUGACUUUUGCAGAGUGUAAACAGCUCUGCGAAUAAGAGCUGGGUAAGACCGGUGCCAGCCGCCGCGGUAACACCGGCAGCUCGAGUGGUGGCCACUAUUAUUGGGCCUAAAGCGUCCGUAGCCGGUUCGGUAAGUCCUUGGGAAAAUCCGCUCGUUCCACGAACGGGACCCUGAGGAUACUGCCGAACUUGGGAACGAGAGAAGUCGGAAGUACUCCUGGGGUAGCGGUGAAAUGCUGUAAUCCUGGGGGGACUACCAGUGGCGAAGGCGUCCGACUAGAGCGGGUCCGACGGUGAGGGACGAAAGCCAGGGGAGCGAACGGGAUUAGAUACCCCGGUAGUCCUGGCCGUAAACGCUGUGGGCUAGGUGUUGCACGCUCUACGGGGGCGUGCAGUGCCGAAGAGAAGUUGAUAAGCCUACCGCCUGGGAAGUACGGUCGCAAG